GACGAACGCUGGCGGCGUGCUUAACACCUGUAAGUCGAAUGGAAAGUCACAGCUUUUGUGGGGUGCUCGAGUGGCGAACGGGUGAGUAACACGUGAGUAACCUGCCCUAGACUUUGGGAUAACUUCAAGCAACUGGGGCUAAUACCGGAUAGGAGCUCCUGCUGCAUGGUGGGGGUUGGAAAGUUUCGGCGGCUGGGGCUGGACUCGCGGCGUAUCAGCUUGUUGGUGGGGUAGUGGCUUACCAAGGCUUUGACGGGUAGCCGGCCUGAGAGGGUGACCGGCAACAUUGGGACUGGCAUGCUGUCCGUAUCUCUUCGGGAGGCAGCAGUGGGGAAUAGUGCACGAUGGGCGUAAGCCUGAUGCAGCAACGCCGCGUUCGGGAUGACGGCCUUCGGUUUGUAAACCGCCUUCGCCUGUGACGAAGCGUGAGUGACGGCAAUGGGUAAAGAAGCACCGGCUAACUACGUG
rnacentral:rRNA from 1 species